GGUUUAAGAAAAACCCAUUCAAG
rnacentral:misc_RNA from 1 species